GCGUGCUAAUACAUGCAAGUCGAACGAGAGCGACCGGUGCUUGCACUGGUCAAUCUAGUGGCGAACGGGUGAGUAACACGUGGGUAACCUGCCCAUCAGAGGGGGAUAACAUUCGGAAACGGAUGCUAAAACCGCAUAGGUCCUUUAACCGCAUGGUUGAAGGAGGAAAAGAGGCGCAAGCUUCUGCUGAUGGAUGGACCUGCGGUGCAUUAGCUAGUUGGUGAGGUAACGGCUCACCAAGGCCGUGAUGCAUAGCCGACCUGAGAGGGUGAUCGGCCACAUUGGGACUGAGACACGGCCCAAACUCCUACGGGAGGCAGCAGUAGGGAAUCUUCCGCAAUGGACGCAAGUCUGACGGAGCAACGCCGCGUGAGUGAAGAAGGUUUUCGGAUCGUAAAACUCUGUUGUUAGAGAAGAACAAGUGCUAGAGUAACUGUUAGCGCCUUGACGGUAUCUAACCAGAAAGCCACGGCUAACUACGUGCCAGCAGCCGCGGUAAUACGUAGGUGGCAAGCGUUGUCCGGAUUUAUUGGGCGUAAAGCGAGCGCAGGCGGUUCCUUAAGUCUGAUGUGAAAGCCCCCGGCUCAACCGGGGAGGGUCAUUGGAAACUGGGGAACUUGAGUGCAGAAGAGGAGAGUGGAAUUCCAUGUGUAGCGGUGAAAUGCGUAGAUAUAUGGAGGAACACCAGUGGCGAAGGCGACUCUCUGGUCUGUAACUGACGCUGAGGCUCGAAAGCGUGGGUAGCAAACAGGAUUAGAUACCCUGGUAGUCCACGCCGUAAACGAUGAGUGCUAAGUGUUGGAGGGUUUCCGCCCUUCAGUGCUGCAGUUAACG
rnacentral:rRNA from 1 species